rnacentral:rRNA from 1 species
AUGAACAUAGAUGGAGCACGGUGGGUGGUCACUGAAUAUUUUGACGAGCACAACCACGAACUCAUAAAUAAGUUCAACCUAGUAAAAUUUCUGACCGCCCACAGAGGAUUCACCCCCCUCGAGAAGAAAUUCAUAAAGCUGCUACAUGAUUGUAACGUCGGUCCAUCAAGAAUGGUCCAGAUACUAUCCCUCAUCCACAACAAAAAUGAGACUCUGAGUAGCAUGCCCUACAUACCAGCUGACGUCACAAACCUAAAGGCAAAGUAUCGUAGAGAGAGCAAGUUGGCUGACAUAGAGGCCACAAUGGCCUACUUCGAUGAGAAAGCGAAGGAAGAUCCAGAUUUCUUCUACAUGAUAAGAUUGGACGAUGAGGACCGUGUCAGGAACAUGUAUUGGGUGGAUGGUGCUGCAAGAAGAGCCUACAAACAUUUUCGAGAUUGCAUUUCAUUCGACGCGACAUAUCUCACUAAUAUGUACAAGAUGCCAUGUGCGCCAUUCAUAGGAAUAAAUAACCACAACACGGAUGGGUACACUUGGCUGUUUAAGACCUUCUUGGAGUGCAUGGAUGGACUUGCUCCGAUGAACAUAAUAAUAGACCAGGAUUUUAGCAUGCGUGCAGGCAUAGAGGAGGUCUUUCCGUUGGCAGUGCACAAGCAGUGCAGGUGGCACAUUAUAAAGAAGGCUGAGGAGAUGCUGGGACCAUUCUUUGCCUCGACAAGCUAAGGCGAAUACUACCGCCAAUGCUGCAAAUUCGAAUGGGACGGCAUUGUGUGCUGUCACAUACUAAAAGUAAUGGACAUGAACGUGGUGACACGAAUGCCCCGCCAUUUCAUAAGGCGGCGAUGGACUUGGGACGCUGACGACGCAUUGGCGCCGCAAACAUCAAACACAGUUUUGGCUGUGCAUGAUGAGAGACCGGAGUCAACCAUGGAAGCCGCGAGGCACGUUGUGUUGACAAAGAACUAUGCUGAACUAAUUGAUGAAGUGUGCAAGAGUGAUGAGACAGCGAGGGUCGCAGAAAAACACAGGAAGGCCCUGAAAAGAGAGCUUGAUGAGAUCAAGAAGAGGAAAGUUGAGGAAGCCUUACACAGGUUCCCCCGCACAUCGAGUGUGCCUUCGUCCACGGGGCCAUCAUCUGAAAACUCGGAGGUAGGAUCUGGAACAGCAAGCACACAAACCCAGGUCAGAAACCUGCCCCGUUCCAUCACAAAAGGGCGUCCAAAAGAGAUAAGAUACAAAUCGGGAUUGGAGAUUCAAGCAAAACACAAGAAAACAAAGAAAGGGAUGGGCAAACCGUAA